rnacentral:SRP_RNA from 1 species
GGACAGAUUCUGCGCUGCUGGCGCCACCCAACCCCGCCAGGACCGGGAGGUAGCAACGGUAAGUGGUUAGUCGGAGAGACGCAGGUGAUUUGUCCCUC